rnacentral:tRNA from 2 species
GCGGUCGUGGCGAAGUGGUUAACGCACCGGAUUGUGGCUCCGGCACUCGUGGGUUCGAUUCCCAUCGAUCGCC